rnacentral:rRNA from 1 species
UACCAGCACCCCGAGUGGUCGGGACGUUUAUUGGGCCUAAAGCAUCCGUAGCCGGUUCUACAAGUCUUCCGUUAAAUCCACCUGCUUAACAGAUGGGCUGCGGAAGAUACUAUAGGGCUAGGAGGCGGGAGAGGCAAGCGGUACUCAGUGGGUAGGGGUAAAAUCCUCUGAUCCAUUGAAGACCACCAGUGGCGAAGGCGGCUUGCCAGAACGCGCUUGACGGUUAGGGAUGAAAGCUGGGGGAGCAAACCGG